AACGCACAUUGCGCCCGCCAGCACUCUGGCGGGCAUGCCUGUCCGAGCGUCAUUUCAACCCUCAGACCAACCCCUCGCGGGUGGGCUGGUGUUGGGGAUCGGCUGCCCCCAGCGGCUGCCGUCCCCCAAAUCCAGUGGCGGCCCCUCGCGAGCUCCCCUGCGCAGUAGCAAUGCCACGCAGAGGGUGCAGCGCCGCGGCCCCGCCGUAAAACGCCCCAUCUCCACCAGGUUGACCUCGGAUCAGGUAGGAAUACCCGCUGAACUUAA
rnacentral:misc_RNA from 1 species